GAGCAACGAGGCAAAUGAGCCCGGCGAUUUUCAUCUGUAGGGACAAACAACGUCUGCAGCACCAGAGAACACAAGGAACGCUCAGAUUCUUAUAGUGAAGAUGGUGGCUGUGCUGUCAAUCUUUAUUACCGUUCGCCUUACUGGCUGCUACUAUACUACAGCUUCUACAGUUAUCCUUCCUGGGCGAACAAGACUAGACGUAGCAAAUAAAAUAUGAGGCACAUGUGCUGUAAGGGCGCCAUAC